AUUGAACGCUGGCGGCAUGCCUUACACAUGCAAGUCGAACGGCAGCACGGGUGCUUGCACCUGGUGGCGAGUGGCGAACGGGUGAGUAAUACAUCGGAACGUACCUUAUCGUGGGGGAUAACGCAGCGCAAGUUGCGCUAAUACCGCAUACGCCCUGAGGGGGAAAGCGGGGGAUCGAAAGACCUCGCGCGAUUAGAGCGGCCGAUGCCUGAUUAGCUUGUUGGUGGGGUAAAAGCCCACCAAGGCGACGAUCAGCAGCUGGUCUGAGAGGACGAUCAGCCACACUGGGACUGAGACACGGCCCAGACUCCUACGGGAGGCAGCAGUGGGGAAUUUUGGACAAUGGGGGCAACCCUGAUCCAGCAAUGCCGCGUGAGUGAAGAAGGCCUUCGGGUUGUAAAGCUCUUUUGUCAGGGAAGAAACACCGGCUCUAACACAGUCCGGGAAUGACGGUACCUGAAGAAUAAGCACCGGCUAACUACGUGCCAGCCGCCGCCGUAA
rnacentral:rRNA from 1 species